AGAGUUUGAUCAUGGCUCAGAACGAACGCUGGCGGCAGGCUUAACACAUGCAAGUCGAGCGCCCCGCAAGGGGAGCGGCAGACGGGUGAGUAACGCGUGGGAAUCUACCGUACCCUACGGAAUAACGCAUGGAAACGUGUGCUAAUACCGUAUACGCCCUUAGGGGGAAAGAUUUAUCGGGGUAUGAUGAGCCCGCGUUGGAUUAGCUAGUUGGUGGGGUAAAGGCCUACCAAGGCGACGAUCCAUAGCUGGUCUGAGAGGAUGAUCAGCCACAU
rnacentral:rRNA from 1 species